rnacentral:ribozyme from 13 species
ACAUCUUUUUCUUUUUCUUUUUCUUUCUCUUUUUUUUUGUUGUUGUUUUUUUUUUUUCUGGUUUUUUUUGGGUUUGGUCUCAAGAGAGAAAAAAGGAAAUAGUAAAUUUAAGUUGGUGG